GCCGGGUGUGGUGGCUCGUGCCUGUAAUCCCAGCCCUUUGGGAGGCAAAGGUAGGGGGAUCACUUGAGCCCAGGAGUUCAAGACCAGCCUGGGCAAUAUAGUGAGACCCUGUCUCUA
ensembl:misc_RNA Metazoa_SRP Metazoan signal recognition particle RNA